GGACUACUAGGGUAUCUAAUCCUGUUUGCUCCCCACGCUUUCGGGCCUCAACGUCAGUCGCGGUCCAGCAGGCCGCCUUCGCCGCCGGUGUUCCUCCUGAUAUCUACGCAUUUCACCGCUACACCAGGAAUUCCGCCUGCCUCUCCCGCACUCCAGCCCCGCAGUUUCCAUGGCAGGCCCAUGGUUGAGCCAUGGGUUUUCACCACGGACUUACGGUGCCGUCUGCGCCCCCUUUACACCCAGUAAAUCCGGAUAACGCUUGCCCCCUACGUAUUACCGCGGCUGCUGGCAC
rnacentral:rRNA from 1 species